rnacentral:lncRNA from 1 species
CAUGGCCCCCAAAGAUGUCCAGGUCUUAAUCCCUGGGAUGUGUGAAUAUUUACCUUACGUGGCAAAAGGGAUUUGCAGAUGUGAUCAGUUAAGGAUCUUGAGAUGGGGAGGUCAUCCUGGAUUAUCCAGGUGGGACCAUUGCAAUCACAGCAUUUUAUAAGUGGAAGCAGGAGGCAGGAGAGUGAGAGAGAAGCAGAAGUGAUGCUGGGAGCAGAAGCUGGGGUGAUGCAAUUGCUGGCUGGGGUCAUGAGUCAAGGAGUGUGGGUAGCUUCUAGAAACUGGAAAAGACAAGGAAAUGGAUUCCCCUUAAAGGCUCCAAAAGGAACACAGCUCUCCCUGAAUCUUGAUUUUAGCCCCGUGAGACCCAUGUCAGAAUUCUGACCUCCAGAAUGAAGAUUAACCCUGAGCUAACAUCUGCUGCUAAUCCUCCUUUUUUUGCUGAUGAAUACUGGCCCUGAGCUAACAUCUGUGCCCAUCUUCAUCUACUUUAUAUGUGGGAUGCCUACCACAGCAUGGCUUGACAAGUGGUGCAUAGGUCUGCACCUGGGAUCCGAACCAGUGAACCCCGGGCCAACGAAGCGGAACACGUGAACUUAACCACUGCACCACUGGGCCAGCCCCGAUUUUAUGCUUCUUAAUGAACAAGUUAAUCGUUUAUCUAAAUGCCAAAAAUGCAGUUGAAAUGAUUUUCCAUCCUUUUAUGCAUGUCUUCCCAACUCCUCCCAAGAUAUUAUGUAGAUAAAACCCCAAGAUUAAAAACAUUUUAAAUUAAUUUCAUUGUUUCUGUAUAAAUGAUAUAUGCCUAUUAUAAGAAAUAUUCAAACAACUUUAAAAAGUAUGAAUAUAAUAAAAACUACCCCAAAUCAUGUCACUCAGAGUCAAUCACAACUAUUUUAGUAAACAUCAUUCUAGAAAUGUCUUUAUUCAUGCAUAUGGGUAUAUGUGCAUGAAUACUUUUAGACUUUUAUACUUUUACUAUCCAUGUUGUUAGUAAUGUUUAGUUCAGUAUUGUAUUGCAGAUGCUUUUGCAUGCUAACAAGUAUAUAUUUUCAGAUUAUGUGUAAUGGCCACUGACUAUCAUGUUUUCUGGAUACAUCAUUAUUUUCUAAAUCAGUCCCCUAAAGUUGAACACUUAUUCUUUUGGGAUUGUAAACACACUGUGAUAAGGUUCACUGCCUGCAUUUUCAACUUGUAUUUUUAUAGGCCCAACUUUUGGUCAGUAUGCCCUGUAAGGCCAGACCAGUGCUGAA